rnacentral:lncRNA from 1 species
GCUUACCAAAGUGGUCAUAUGGCAGUUACCAUUAUGUAAAUGCUGGUUCAUUAGAGUUUCCAGUGCCCUGUGUGUUUUGCAAAGUAUGAAAACUGUCAGUUAAAAGAUUUUUGGGUGCCGAAAUGUAAUUUAAUUCCAAAACAACUGAAGGUCAAAAACUUAACAUGCUUUUUUAUGUGUACAUUUAAUAAAACAAUUUCAUUGGUUUCUUACCAUAAGUUAACUGCGAUGAGUGAUAAAUACUUCAAUAUUCAGAUACUUUCGUAAGAGAUACAUUUCAGUGGAACACUUUGCAUAAAUAUUUUCUCAAAAAUAUGCAAUUUCUGGGAAAAAAGGAAUGAUGAAAGAAUUUCACUUACUUGUAUUUAAGUUCAUAGAGUUAUUGCAGUUUUCCUAGAAAUUGUGUCAGAUUGUCAUGCUUUUUUGUUGACUUACUAAGAAUCCCAAUUUUAGCAUGAAGACUAUUAGAUAUGAAUACAUAAGACUAUAACAAUUCAAAUUAAGCACAUGGAGUGAUUUGUAAUUUUGUGUUAAUUUCUCCCUAAGAUGUUUUGUUAAAAUGAUUUUGUAUAAAAUAAAUUUCUAAGUUGAGGAAGGCAGGUAAAAAAAAUUCCAGAUAACCUUUUCUUUCUGAAGUCUGCUAAUAACAAUACCUAGUAUAUACUUAGAAGAACCAGCCAAGAAAAAUUAACUUUCAGCAACCACUCUUUACUCGUUUCUCUUUUGUAAUACCAAUUUUAUGACCCAAGAUUCCCCAGUAUUUAAUGGAAGUAAGAAUAAAGACCAAAGCGCAAAACCUCUGUUACUUGCAAUAUAGUACUUUGUGUUUGUAAUCAAUGUGUGGUAAAUUUAACACAUUUACCACUUACUGAUUAGUCUUUGGGAAAAGAAUGGUGGAAGUCAUUCAAUGAAAUACCUUUCUACCAUAUUGGUUAGACAUACUGGCAGCACAGUGUAAUGAAGAGAACUGGCUUGGAGUUGGGAAAUGGGAAUUUGACUUUCAUUCCUGACAGGAAGUAGAGGAACCCCAGCAAAGUCAUAUCUCAGAGCUUCAUUUUCCUCAUCUGUAAAGUUUUAAAAGUUGAUUAAAUUAUCUGUGAGAUCUAAUUCUGUUCAAAUAGCGAGUGGUGAUAAUCUCAUUUGUAUAUUGUCCUCUGUAUUCAUGGCUCAACCUUGGCUUUUAUAUUUAGUCCCUGAAUAGAAUACAUCAUUUAAUGUGUAGUUUCCAGACAAGCUGUGUCUUGCGGCCAUGACCUUAUUGUUGUAAGUGUGAGGUUUUCUGAACCCUUAGAAGAAGGACUUUUAAUGUUUUCACAACACACUAUUGUAUUGCUAUAAAUUGUGAAUUGCUUUAAAAAUACAUGUUUACUAAUAAAAAGAAGUACAGGCACACUUUA